ACAAAAUGAGAAGAUGCUCUUAACCUAGAAAGCCAAUGAAAACCUCAGAUCAAUUCUCAAAGGGCCCCGAGGAGUCACCACCUCAGCUGCCACGAGACCCUUGGAGUACGGGCCCACCUCUGUAAAAAGUGAGAAAGGCCCAGGGAGCAGAGUAUUUGGAGACAACUUCCUGGAGGAGAUACCAUUUGACCUGGUAUUUAAAGGAAGGAGAUUGGGGCAAGGCAAGGAUUCAGGGAGAAGAUAGAAAGAAAGUCGGCACAAAAAUGAUGUCUGCUUCCUUACAUGCUGUGCUGCUCGGACACAAUAUGCAAUGCCACGGAUCAAGUCAUUUAUAGUGACUAGGAGCUCAUGGCUCGGUUCAGGUGGAUGGGAAGUUCAGAUGAAGAGCCUUGGAGAGUCUACAGAAAUUAAUUUUUGAGACAUUCUCAAAGUUUGCCCUGGAACAAGGAAGCCAAAGUGAACAUGAGCAGUUGGGGCACAGGAUCUCUGCUGGCUCCAGUCUCAAAGCAGUGUUCAUCAGGCUUGGCUGGGUCAUCGUCACCUGCCGCUGACCUUUCACCCCGGUCCUCGG